UACGUAGGGUGCAAGCGUUGUCCGGAAUUAUUGGGCGUAAAGAGCUUGUAGGCGGUUUGUCGCGUCUGCUGUGAAAACUCGAGGCUUAACCUCGAGCUGUCGGCGGAAACCAUCUGGCUAGAGUCCGGAAGAGGAGAAUGGAAUUCCCGGUGUAGCGGUGAAAUGCGCAGAUAUCGGGAAGAACACCCGUGGCGAAGGCGGCUCUCUGGGACGGUACUGACGCUGAGACGCGAAAGCGUGGGGAGCGAACAGG
rnacentral:rRNA from 1 species